GUUAUUAAACAAAAAAUAUCUAUCUUUUUAUAAAAAUUACCAAUUAAUAAAGUUAAUUUUCUCGUUUUAACUUUAUUUGCACUCAGAGAUACAUUAUGGACGUUUUAAAUUGUUUUAAAUUAAUAAUCCAAAGGAACAAGUUUUAGCAAGCGCAAGUACAGUUGGAACCAAAAGAAUACUGCAGAAGUGACUUAUUAUUAGCAAAAUGUGGUAAUAAAGGCAGGAAAAAAUUUAUUUUGAAAACAACACAUGGAAAAGUUGAAUGGUAUAUAUCGAAGAAAUAGAACGGAUUAUUAAUAAUGGAAGAAUUAACAGUAUAAGAAACUAUUGAUUUAAUCAAAUCACAAGAAAAAAUGGACUGAAUAAUUCUAAUCCUAUUAUUAAUACUUAAAUAUAGAAUCAGACUUUGUUUAUACCUCCCGGUGUUGAAAUAAUCUCUGGAAGUGACCAAGUACCAGUAACACUGCAAGAAGUUAUCAAAGAAAGUGGGGAUUCAACUAUUAUGAAUUCAUUGGAUAUGUGUUCCCAAGUGUGGGAAAAUCAUUCAACGAGGUGUCUUAAUAGGCUAUUAUGCGUGUUACCCUCUAAAAUUGUUAUUAUUUUCAAUAGGGGGCUCCAUCAAUGUCUCAACCUCCUAAAGGACUACAGAAAAAUAUAGCAUUUUGAUUUUUAAAUCGUUGUUUAUGCUCAGAAUCCCAAGCGUUACUAUCAAAAACUACGAAUUUAUCUAAUUUUCAUAGAAAUUUCAAGAAAUAAUCUCGGCCGACUUCGAAGACGUCGGCCGCCCUAGGUAUUGUUCAUGAUACUUAAAAUACUCGGGAUUCGGAGGAUACUACAAAAAAACUUUUAGAACAAAAGUAGUAGCAAAUUUUAUU